GAUAGUAGGAAGGCUCUUCAGACAGAUUUACUAAUAUUUGAAUAGUCCCAAAGGCAGGUGAAAACCUGAUGCAUCUGGACAUCUAUUGGUCACUGAAGACAGCUGGAGUGCCUCCUGGCAGCCUGAGAGACGAAGCUAGAGACAGAGGCACAGGGAAGAGCAGAAAGCAGUGUGCGCUGUCAGAUUGUGGACGUCGGGUUGGUGUCAGUACAAACCAUUCCACGCCAAAAUCCUAUCAGAUGGUUCCCUUCCGCACCGAAAAUUCUAUCAGAAUGGACAGGUAGAUUUUGUGAUCUGCUGACAUGGUGUGGGAUUCUGCUCCCACAGGAGACUUGAUUCAGCUGACUCUAGACUGUUGAAGGUGGCAGGUCUUCAGAGGACUUCAUUUGAAGGUGAAGAUGCUGAGGCUAAGGGAGAUCGUGGGGUUUGUCCCAAGUCCACUCCAAGGCAGACAGAGAUGAGAUCCAUCCUCUGACUCCUGGCUUUCCCAAGAUGGGUGAAGAUUUCUCCCCCACCAAUUUUUUUUAUUCUCCAUUACCACAUCUCUGAUCCAAUGCAAGUUACUGUCGAUGUCCAGCUG